UGGUGCUUGAGGGCGUCAGACACGAAUGAUUCAUUUCCUCCUGACUGCUUAGGGAGAGGCAUAAAAGCUCCCAGUUCUGGGCUGUUCUACCCCAUUCUUCACCCAUUUCUGCUGCCUCGCUCCGUGCUCCGAAGCCCAACCUGCAGGAUCCUGCUGCCUGAGCUGGGCCGUGUGUUCCAGGCCGGUCUCCACUCCCAGAAAUGUCCUCCUCCAGGAAGAGCAGCAUCUCCAUCUCUUCCUUUCCCAGCGAAUCCCGCAGGCACAUCGCCAGCACCUGGGGCGGGCCCCGGCUCUCCUCCCCUGGGGGCUCCACGGUUGUGGUUUACCCACCCCCUGUGCUCAUACACUUCCCACCUCCCACCAUCACCUCCUGCCCCCAGGAGGGGUUUGUGAGCCCCAUCAGCCCCGGGAACCCCUGGAAAUCCUCGAGCGUUCUGGGGCCCUGCGGCUCUGACAACUGCAGGAGCCUUUUCGGGUGAUGGGAGGGCACGUUCUGCUCUGGCUCCAGGGCUCACCGAUGCUCUGGAUCCAUGUUCUGCUCUGGAUCCACGUUCUGCUCUGGCUCCAGGCCUCACUGAUGCUUUAGAUCCACGUUCUGCUCUGGAUCCACGUUCUGCUCUGGCUCCAGGCUCACCGAUGCUCUGGAUCCAUGUUCUGCUCUGGAUCCACGUUCUGCUCUGGCUCCAGGCCUCACUGAUGCUUUAGAUCCACGUUCUGCUCUGGAUCCACGUUCUGCUCUGGCUCCAGGCCUCACUGAUGCUUUAGAUCCACGUUCUGCUCUGGAUCCACGUUCUGCUCUGGCUCCAGGGCUCACUGAUGCUCUGGGAGCUGCAGCCCGAGUUAAAUGUGCAAGGAAUGAGGAGCAGCCCCCCACCAAGGAGGAAGAUGAGCCUCCCCAAGCCCCGUCCUGGCAGUGCCCACCUGGAGCACCAUCCCUUCCACAGCUCCGUGCAAUUCCCAAGAUAAUGGUUUAGUUUAGUUUUUGGGCUGUUCUUUCCACCUCCUGAUAACAACGACCUCAAAACCAUCACAUCAACCACCUGUGGCUGUUUGAAAGCGGGAUGAGACCGUGGAAGUCUUCCCAUGCCAUGGAAAAGCAGGAAUAAUGCACAUGGAAGGCAGAGCCCCGGAGCAAUUCUUUGCCUGCAGCCUUCAAGGAGCCCCUGCCGAGAUUUUCGCUGUUUUUCAUUCCCAGUAACAUGUUUUGCUUCUUGCUCCCCCAUUAAACCACCGUGCACCAAA